rnacentral:rRNA from 1 species
UACGUAGGGUGCAAGCGUUAAUCGGAAUUACUGGGCGUAAAGUGUGCGCAGGCGGUUAUGCAAGACAGAUGUGAAAUCCCCGGGCUCAACCUGGGAACUGCAUUUGUGACUGCAUGGCUAGAGUACGGUAGAGGGGGAUGGAAUUCCGCGUGUAGCAGUGAAAUGCGUAGAUAUGCGGAGGAACACCGAUGGCGAAGGCAAUCCCCUGGACCUGUACUGACGCUCAUGCACGAAAGCGUGGGGAGCAAACAAG